rnacentral:rRNA from 2 species
AAACCAACAGGGAUUGCCUUAGUAGCGGCGAGUGAAGCGGCAAAAGCUCAAAUUUGAAAUCUGGCACUUUCAGUGUCCGAGUUGUAAUUUGAAGAAGGUAUCUUUGGGUCUGGCUCUUGUCUAUGUUUCUUGGAACAGAACGUCACAGAGGGUGAGAAUCCCGUGCGAUGAGAUGUCCCAGACCUAUGUAAAGUUCCUUCGAAGAGUCGAGUUGUUUGGGAAUGCAGCUCUAAGUGGGUGGUAAAUUCCAUCUAAAGCUAAAUAUUGGCGAGAGACCGAUAGCGAACAAGUACAGUGAUGGAAAGAUGAAAAGAACUUUGAAAAGAGAGUGAAAAAGUACGUGAAAUUGUUGAAAGGGAAGGGCUUGAGAUCAGACUUGGUAUUUUGUAUGUUACUCUCUCGGGGGUGGCCUCUACAGUUUACCGGGCCAGCAUCAGUUUGGGCGGUAGGACAAUUGCAAAGAAAUGUGGCACUGCCUCGGUAGUGUGUUAUAGUCUUUGUCGAUACUGCCAGCCUAGACUGAGGACUGCGGCUUCGGCCUAGGAUGUUGGCAUAAUGAUCUUAAGUCGC